rnacentral:lncRNA from 1 species
AAACAUGUAUUGAAAAUGCUUUAGAGUUAGUCAUAUUUGAGUUACCUUUGAACAACGUUAUAAAGAUGUUAUUAGAUGAUAAAGCUGGGAAUUCUUAUGUAAGGACUAAUAGGUCUUAAGGCCACUUAUGGUAUUCUUCUAUAAAAAAUGGUAAUUUUAUAAAUGAAAAAAAAUAAUUUAAGGGGGAAAAAUCCAUGAAAAAGAUUCAAACAAGUUCAACUUUUC